rnacentral:rRNA from 1 species
AGUGAACGCUGGCGGUAGGCCUAACACAUGCAAGUCGAACGGCAGCACAGUAAGAGCUUGCUCUUACGGGUGGCGAGUGGCGGACGGGUGAGGAGUACAUCGGAAUCUACUUUUUCGUGGGGGAUAACGUAGGGAAACUUACGCUACUACCUCAUACGUCCUACGGGUGAAAGCAGGGGAUCUUCGGACCUUGCGCGAUUCAAUGAGCCGAUGUCGGAUUAGCUAGUUGGCGGGGUAAAGGCCCACCAAGGCGACGAUCCGUAGCUGGUCUGAGAGGAUGAUCAGCCACACUGGAACUGAGACACGGUCCAGACUCCUACGGGAGGCAGCAGUGGGGAAUAUUGGGCAAUGGGCGCAAGCCUGAUCCAGCCAUACCGCGUGAGUGAAGAAGGCCUUCGGGUUGUAAAGCCCUUUUGUUGGGAAAGAAAAGAAGCAGGUUAAAACCCCGCUGUUCUGACGGUACCCAAAGAAUAAGCAACGGCUAACUUCGUG